GUGGUGAAGUCAGGUACGUGGAGUCGUGUGCUGGAUGUUGCUGUUGCCUAUGGUAGGGCUUUAAGUGACCAUCUGAGAACAACUUGUAGAUGGGUAAAGACGGGUGAAAUGUGUGCUAUCUUUAGCAAACAAGGAGUGUGACUGGAAGCCUUUUUCUCUGACCUACAGGAAAAGAUGUGCUAAUAAGCAGCAGUCAAUGCAUCAACCAGAAUGGCUGCAUUUUCACUGAAAGUUGGUUUCAUGCUUAAAGGGGAGAUGGAUAAUUAAGACUUCAUCUUCCAAAUUAUUAAAUAUUGAUUUGUAGACAUUUAGCAGCAGGCAUAAAGCUCUCCUGAGAACUGGCAGCAACUGUCUAAAAGAUUAUAAAAGAUUUUAGUUCUCCACGUAGAAUUUAGCUUUUUGUUUUCUUUUGUUUAAAAUUUAUGAAAUGAGAGUAAAAUAAAUCAGGAGGUAAAUUCUAACCCUCUGAGAGCGUGUGAGUUCUGUUCCAUGUGGCCGUUCAGAGUCGAAAUGGAUGUAUGAUUUUUUUUUUUAAGGUUUGUAUUGGCUUUUGGUUUAUUGAAGUGUCAGGGGGUUUAUAAGCUCUUCAACUCCAAUUUUGAUUGUUUUAUCCAACUACUGUCACUUCUUAUCAGUAUUAAAGGCAGAAAUCAAAGCACGGGACCCAUGGGAAGUGGCGUUUCAAAUGUACACCACUGCUCUUCUGUGUCACUGUUCUGAACUACGCACCCUCCGCUCCUGACAGCACACCCACAACAAGAUAAAAAGCUCCAUAAAGCCCAAUGUGGUUUCAGCCAGCAGUGUGCUACCUAAGUAGUGAGCAGAAAGUGCACAGAAGUGCCCAGCGUUGUCAGCGCUUCCCUUGGCGUUGUGCUCGUGGUUCUGCUGCUUCUUCUGCCUGCCGUGGUCUCUGUGGGGAAAAAGGCAAAGUCUUGUUACAGCACUAGUUACUUGUGAUUUGCCUGUUGCCAUCGGCAGAGGAAGAUGAGCUUCGAAGCACAGCAUCGAAGGCGCAGAUCCUCCCCCUAAAGCCCAGAGGAGAUCCAGUUGCCAGCCCAGCCCUGUUCUCUACCAAUAAUACUCACACGUUCCAACUCUGACUCUUCUCCAGUAUUUCUGUACUACAGACCGGCUGUGUCCACUGUUAGAGAAGUGCUUCGGCCCGACUCCACCCAGCUGAGAUAUCCAGAAAUUGGCACACCAGAAAAUGGACAGAUUUGCCCUGAGCAUGAUUUUUCUCAUUUUGGCUCAGCUCCAUUAAUGGAUUAAGCCAUGGUUUGUUAAGCAGUGGCUCCUGUGGAAGUUACGGUACAUUUUUGAGAACUGCUGCUUUAGACAGCAGCACAGCGUGAUGCACACGGAGCUGUCGGCUGCGUUCACUGUGAGGUCUGGCCUGAGCUGGCAUCACAGGGCGCCUGUGCUGGCCAGUGCUUAUUUGUUUUACAGACACUUGCUGUAAAACUGAAAUUAUUGAUUGGGAGAGGCUCAGCUGCUUUUUUGUUAUUAUUUUUUCAUUUGUUGUGCUUGUUCCAGAGUAGCAUUGCCCAUGAUAACGCAGUGUUUGGCUUAGCUUCUGUAACUUGUUGUAGAGGGAAAAGUUUUCACAAGCACUAAAGAUCUUCUGAGUCACCCUGAGAUGAACCCUAUAUUCCUGUGACUUGGAAAGACCCCUCUGAAACACUGCAUGGUUAGAUCGCUGUCUCAUGUGAUGCUGAAGACUGUGCUUUUAUGUUUCAGCUUUGUCCAAAUGGGAAUUUAAGGAUGGGCUCUUGAAGUGUGUGUGAACUGGAGCUGCAGGACCAACAAGGAGCAUCUCUGCCCCAUCUCUGCAAUGACUGCACAACACCCACCUGGGGGACUGGCUUCAAUGGCACUUACAGCUCCUUUUUUGCUUUUCUCUUACCUAAUCUGGGCUACAUGGGCUGUAGACAUAAGGGGAAAUUUAGGAAUAUUAUUCUCAGGAUCAGAAAAGAUGUGAUUUUUCCAUAUCUUAAUCUCAGCUACAACUAGUCAGUAGUUUUCUAGUGAAAACAGAAACUUUUUGAUGGAAGAAAAGAGCUGCAGAGCAGAGGUGGGAUCUGCUUUAGCAGGGGGUCUGGUGGGGAGCUGAGGGCUGGGCAUGGGGCUGGGGACCACGGGGGCUCAGAGCACUGCAGUCAUGGCAGUGAGUGAGGGGGGCUGUGCUAAAGGUCCGAAGCUCACAAAGUGCAUUCCUUUUUUAAGUCUUGCUUCUACAUCUUGAGGAAUUAAAUUAGCAUGUAAGCCAUUGCUAUGUGUUUGUGCCAAAACUCUACAGUGGAAAUGUUCUGACCUGGGAAAGCUCAAGUACGCGUUUUUCUUAAAAGCUUUUGUGAAAGAUAUAAAACUGUAGUUUAUUUCUUGUUGUAUAUCUGAGAGGUUUUACAAGAGAGUUAAAAACGAAAAACAAGAGAAUUUAAAGAAAUAGGACCUCCAUUCUGACUGCUUAAAGAUAGGAUACAGCUGCAUUUUCACUUCUUCGAUUUUUCUGACAUUUAGAAUAGCAGAGUGGAAAAAAAAAAGCAAGGAUCUUUUCAAUUCAUUGAAAAAUAUCUUUUUCAUGUCUUACCAGGGUAGUGAAAAUGUUCCAAGACACUAUAGACAUAUAUAAACACACAUAUAUAUAUGUGUAUGCCUUUAUUAGAGGCGAUUCUGAAGAAAACAAUAUGAAUACAGAACUACUGUAAAUGGCACAAAUCCAUUAAAGAAUGCAAGUGCCAAGAGGCUGCUGUUGUGUUGAAUUAAAGUUCAUAAAACCUAAGGUUGCUUCCAAAUUGAGAACUAACCUGGGAGUUUGGAUUUAACACUGACUGGACCUGUCACAUUUCCCAUUAAUGAGGCUUAGCUCUGAAGAAAAGGAGGGAAGGAAAAUGGUCAGUGUGAUAAGCUGUACAAAGCAGUAAUUGGAUCAAGCUGAGACAUUGGUGGCCUUUAAGAGCAGCAGAAGAGACUAGUUAGGGGGUUGGCAGAUGGAUUUUUUUUCCCAAUAUUCAAUUUUCAAUAUUUAAUUUUCUCAAUACGUUUUUAUCUUCAAAUUAGGAUAGGCAGAAUAAUCAGUUUGUGGGCUCUGGGAACAUUACACAUUUUACAUGGUAGGACAUAAGUGGUUACACCUUUGCCAAAAGGAGGAUUGCCUUCCAUGCUGAGAAAAUUUAUCUCAAAACUUUGGGAACCAUCUUCUGUGUGGCUCAGUGGCUGUAAGAAAUCUUGGAGGAUUUAAAUUUUGGAGCAAAAUGCCUACAGGAGGAGUUAGGUGAGAACCAUACAGGUUUAAUCUUGGUAAGUCCAGACCCAUCGGGUGGAUCUAGACCUCAGUGCAAUAUAUAAAGCAGAAAGAUUCUCUGUGGAUGUAUUCCAGCUCUUAUGAAGAGUUUACAGAGAGUAUCUCUAGGUAUAGUAGAAGCUCAUAUCAGUGUGAAUCCAAAUUUAAAUAAUGAUUAAUCUUUUUGAUGUGACCCCACAUAAUGCUUCAUUUCAAUGUAAUUGGAUUUCUGGAAUAAACUUUGUGUGUUAAAACAGGAUAAACUUCCUUUAUAAACAUGAGUAUGUGGGGUAGGCAUUCCAGGUUGGCCACGACAGUGCGGUUCUGUCCUUGCUUAACUGCAGGCAUCGGUGUGCUCUCCUUGCACUGCAGAUCAGGUACAAGUCAGUUAACAUAUGGAGGAUCAACAUCCUGUCCUGUCCCGUUCAUUUAAUCUUGUAGAGAAAAUGACCUUCAUUAAAGGUUUGAACUUGACAUUUACUUUUCCACUCACAAGGUACUUCUGAAGCUGUAUCCUGACUCUUGGCCCUACCUUUUGUAGCUCAGCAUCCAAAGGGCUACAGGCUGGCCACGCAGGGUAGCCUACCUCAUUAACACUAUUUCCUACAGGUUUUACAUUCUCAGAGAUUCAAUUUUCAUUUGGGAGAGAACAGAAGUAUCAUAUUUUGCACCAGAAAAUUAACAGUUUACUAGUCAUUUACUAGUUCACUAAAAAAAAUUGGUUUUAUAUUUGUUUAGUGUAUCUAUGAUGUUGUAGAAGGAAAAGUGUGAUUGGUCACACUGUACCUAUUCAGAGAAUAAAUCACAAGCAGAUUGUCACACGCUACUUGGAGUUCACAUUAAGAAACAGUAAGAAAGACCUCACCAACUUUUCCCUAAGUCUGUGGGAAAAUGAGUGAAGUCAGCUCUGUGGGAAGUCCUCCUGAAUAUCUGUCAGGGCUCGCUGUAUCAUGUGCGAUUUCUUACUGCUAGUUUUAUAGAUUGCACAGGUUGUGCCUGGAUGUUUUGGUCCUCCCUGCUGUAAGCACUUUAAACAAACACAACAGAAAAAAUUCUCAACGUACUGACACUAACAUUCUUUUUUUUUUUUUUUUU